AUCGCUACAAUUUAUCUCUACUAACAACCAUCUCCACCAUCACAACUAACAACAUCUCCAACUAACACCAACACAUCAUCAACCAUCAUGCAUUUAUUUUUCAUCCAUCACAAUCAACACCUCCAACUACUAACAUCAAGCAACGUCACAUCACAACCACUACCGCUACUAUCAACCGUCAUCAUCAUAACAGUCACCACAAUAUCAACCAUUACAACUAUC
rnacentral:lncRNA from 1 species